rnacentral:rRNA from 1 species
UUAAGCGACUAAGCGUACACGGUGGAUGCCCUGGCAGUCAGAGGCGAUGAAGGGCGUGCUAAUCUGCGAUAAGCGCCGGUAAGGUGAUAUGAACCGUUAUAACCGGCGAUACCCGAAUGGGGAAACCCAGUGUGAUUCGUCACACUAUCAUUAACUGAAUCCAUAGGUUAAUGAGGCGAACCGGGGGAACUGAAACAUCUAAGUACCCCGAGGAAAAGAAAUCAACCGAGAUUCCCCCAGUAGCGGCGAGCGAACGGGGAGGAGCCCAGAGCCUGAAUCAGCAUGUGUGUUAGUGGAAGCGUCUGGAAAGGCGCGCGAUACAGGGUGACAGCCCCGUACACAAAAGCGCAUGUGCUGUGAGCUCGAUGAGUAGGGCGGGACACGUGGUAUCCUGUCUGAAUAUGGGGGGACCAUCCUCCAAGGCUAAAUACUCCUGACUGACCGAUAGUGAACCAGUACCGUGAGGGAAAGGCGAAAAGAACCCCGGCGAGGGGAGUGAAAAAGAACCUGAAACCGUGUACGUACAAGCAGUGGGAGCACCCUUCGGGGUGUGACUGCGUACCUUUUGUAUAAUGGGUCAGCGACUUAUAUUCUGUAGCAAGGUUAACCGUAUAGGGGAGCCGGAGGGAAACCGAGUCUUAAUUGGGCGUUAAGUUGCAGGGUAUAGACCCNNNNNNNNNNCAAAGCAUUCUCUGGUGUUGAAGGCCCUGCAAAGCAGCAUCGCGGUGGCGGAGCGUCGUUUGCGACGCCCAACACACAAAACAAGCGGUGAAUGCUUUGGGGUGGGGUGACUGCGUACCUUUUGUAUAAUGGGUCAGCGACUUAUAUUCUGUAGCAAGGUNNNNNNNNNNUAAGCCAGUGGUGAACUCCACAUCCGCAUCCUUUGCUGAGGAUACGGUUAACGGAGCGAAAGCGACGUUCAACCGCAAAACAAGCAGAGGGGGCUUAGUGGUGGGGUGACUGCGUACCUUUUGUAUAAUGGGUCAGCGACUUAUAUUCUGUAGCAAGGUUAACCGAAUAGGGGAGCCGGAGGGAAACCGAGUCUUAAUUGGGCGUUAAGUUGCAGGGUAUAGACCCGAAACCCGGUGAUCUAGCCAUGGGCAGGUUGAAGGUUGGGUAACACUAACUGGAGGACCGAACCGACUAAUGUUGAAAAAUUAGCGGAUGACCUGUGGCUGGGGGUGAAAGGCCAAUCAAACCGGGAGAUAGCUGGUUCUCCCCGAAAGCUAUUUAGGUAGCGCCUCGUGAAUUCAUCUCCGGGGGUAGAGCACUGUUUCGGCUAGGGGGCCAUCCCGGCUUACCAACCCGAUGCAAACUGCGAAUACCGGAGAAUGUUAUCACGGGAGACACACGGCGGGUGCUAACGUCCGUCGUGAAGAGGGAAACAACCCAGACCGCCAGCUAAGGUCCCAAAGUCAUGGUUAAGUGGGAAACGAUGUGGGAAGGCCCAGACAGCCAGGAUGUUGGCUUAGAAGCAGCCAUCAUUUAAAGAAAGCGUAAUAGCUCACUGGUCGAGUCGGCCUGCGCGGAAGAUGUAACGGGGCUAAACCAUGCACCGAAGCUGCGGCAGCGAACGUAUCACCCAAGACAACUUUACGGAGUUGACGAUUGACGGAGCGAAGCGACGUCAAAGCGUUCAUUAAAGUCGAGUUGGCUUAGGGAUACGUUCGUUGGGUAGGGGAGCGUUCUGUAAGCCUGUGAAGGUGUGUCGUGAGGCAUGCUGGAGGUAUCAGAAGUGCGAAUGCUGACAUAAGUAACGAUAAAGCGGGUGAAAAGCCCGCUCGCCGGAAGACCAAGGGUUCCUGUCCAACGUUAAUCGGGGCAGGGUGAGUCGACCCCUAAGGCGAGGCCGAAAGGCGUAGUCGAUGGGAAACGGGUUAAUAUUCCCGUACUUGGUGUUACUGCGAAGGGGGGACGGAGAAGGCUAUGUUGGCCGGGCGACGGUUGUCCCGGUUUAAGCGUGUAGGUGUGUGUUCCAGGUAAAUCCGGUUCACUUUAACACUGAGGCGUGACGACGAGGCACUACGGUGCUGAAGCAACAAAUGCCCUGCUUCCAGGAAAAGCCUCUAAGCAUCAGGUAACACGAAAUCGUACCCCAAACCGACACAGGUGGUCAGGUAGAGAAUACCAAGGCGCUUGAGAGAACUCGGGUGAAGGAACUAGGCAAAAUGGUGCCGUAACUUCGGGAGAAGGCACGCUGACACGUAGGUGAAGUGAUUUACUCAUGGAGCUGAAGUCAGUCGAAGAUACCAGCUGGCUGCAACUGUUUAUUAAAAACACAGCACUGUGCAAACACGAAAGUGGACGUAUACGGUGUGACGCCUGCCCGGUGCCGGAAGGUUAAUUGAUGGGGUCAGCGCAAGCGAAGCUCCUGAUCGAAGCCCCGGUAAACGGCGGCCGUAACUAUAACGGUCCUAAGGUAGCGAAAUUCCUUGUCGGGUAAGUUCCGACCUGCACGAAUGGCGUAAUGAUGGCCAGGCUGUCUCCACCCGAGACUCAGUGAAAUUGAACUCGCUGUGAAGAUGCAGUGUACCCGCGGCAAGACGGAAAGACCCCGUGAACCUUUACUAUAGCUUGACACUGAACAUUGAGCCUUGAUGUGUAGGAUAGGUGGGAGGCUUUGAAGUGUGGACGCCAGUCUGCAUGGAGCCGACCUUGAAAUACCACCCUUUAAUGUUUGAUGUUCUAACGUGGACCCGUAAUCCGGGUUGCGGACAGUGUCUGGUGGGUAGUUUGACUGGGGCGGUCUCCUCCUAAAGAGUAACGGAGGAGCACGAAGGUUGGCUAAUCCUGGUCGGACAUCAGGAGGUUAGUGCAAUGGCAUAAGCCAGCUUGACUGCGAGCGUGACGGCGCGAGCAGGUGCGAAAGCAGGUCAUAGUGAUCCGGUGGUUCUGAAUGGAAGGGCCAUCGCUCAACGGAUAAAAGGUACUCCGGGGAUAACAGGCUGAUACCGCCCAAGAGUUCAUAUCGACGGCGGUGUUUGGCACCUCGAUGUCGGCUCAUCACAUCCUGGGGCUGAAGUAGGUCCCAAGGGUAUGGCUGUUCGCCAUUUAAAGUGGUACGCGAGCUGGGUUUAGAACGUCGUGAGACAGUUCGGUCCCUAUCUGCCGUGGGCGCUGGAGAACUGAGGGGGGCUGCUCCUAGUACGAGAGGACCGGAGUGGACGCAUCACUGGUGUUCGGGUUGUCAUGCCAAUGGCACUGCCCGGUAGCUAAAUGCGGAAGAGAUAAGUGCUGAAAGCAUCUAAGCACGAAACUUGCCCCGAGAUGAGUUCUCCCUGAGACUUAGAGUCUCCUGAAGGAACGUUGAAGACGACGACGUUGAUAGGCCGGGUGUGUAAGCGCAGCGAUGCGUUGAGCUAACCGGUACUAAUGAACCGUGAGGCUUAACCUU